UACGAAGGGGGCUAGCGUUGUUCGGAAUUACUGGGCGUAAAGCGAACGUAGGCGGUGUUCCAUGUCAGAGGUGAAAGCCUGGGGCUCAACUCCAGAAUUGCCUUUGAAACGGGGACGCUUGAGUCCGAGAGAGGGUGGCGGAAUUCCUAGUGUAGAGGUGAAAUUCGUAGAUAUUAGGAAGAACACCAGUGGCGAAGGCGGCCACCUGGCUCGGUACUGACGCUCAGGUUCGAAAGCGUGGGGAGCAAAAGGG
rnacentral:rRNA from 1 species